UCCUCUCGGAGUCUUUCACUGG
rnacentral:misc_RNA from 1 species